rnacentral:rRNA from 1 species
GAGUUUGAUCCUGGCUCAGGACGAACGCUGGCGGCGUGCCUAAUACAUGCAAGUAGAACGCUGAAGACUUUAGCUUGCUAAAGUUGGAAGAGUUGCGAACGGGUGAGUAACGCGUAGGUAACCUGCCUACUAGCGGGGGAUAACUAUUGGAAACGAUAGCUAAUACCGCAUAACAGUCUUUGACACAUGUUAGAGACUUAAAAGGAGCAAUUGCUCCACUAUGAGAUGGACCUGCGUUGUAUUAGCUAGUUGGUGAGGUAAAGGCUCACCAAGGCGACGAUACAUAGCCGACCUGAGAGGGUGAUCGGCCACACUGGGACUGAGACACGGCCCAGACUCCUACGGGAGGCAGCAGUAGGGAAUCUUCGGCAAUGGGGGGAACCCUGACCGAGCAACGCCGCGUGAGUGAAGAAGGUUUUCGGAUCGUAAAGCUCUGUUGUUAGAGAAGAACGUGUGUGAGAGUGGAAAGUUCACACAGUGACGGUAACUAACCAGAAAGGGACGGCUAACUACGUGCCAGCAGCCGCGGUAAUACGUAGGUCCCGAGCGUUGUCCGGAUUUAUUGGGCGUAAAGCGAGCGCAGGCGGUUUAAUAAGUCUGAAGUUAAAGGCAGUGGCUUAACCAUUGUUCGCUUUGGAAACUGUUAGACUUGAGUGCAGAAGGGGAGAGUGGAAUUCCAUGUGUAGCGGUGAAAUGCGUAGA